CACGCCGUAAACGAUGGAUACUAGCUGUUGGAGGUAUCGACCCCUUCAGUAGCGAAGCUAACGCGUUAAGUAUCCCGCCUGUGGAGUACGAUCGCAAGAUUAAAACAUAAAGGAAUUGAC
rnacentral:rRNA from 1 species